ACAGAGGUCCCAAGCGUUGUUCGGAUUUACUGGGCGUAAAGGGCGCGUAGGUGGUAGGCUAAGUCUGGUGUGAAAGCUCUGAGCUUAACUCAGAAAUGGCACUAGAUACUAGUUUGCUUGAGGGUUGGAGGGGAGACUGGAAUUCUCGGUGUAGCAGUGAAAUGCGUAGAUAUCGAGAGGAACACCAGUGGCGAAGGCGAGUCUCUGGACAGUUACUGACACUGAGGCACGAAGGCCAGGGGAGCAAACGGGA
rnacentral:rRNA from 1 species